rnacentral:rRNA from 1 species
CAUGCAAGUCGAGCGGCAGCGGGAAGUAGCUUGCUACUUUGCCGGCGAGCGGCGGACGGGUGAGUAAUGUCUGGGGAUCUGCCCGAUGGAGGGGGAUAACUACUGGAAACGGUAGCUAAUACCGCAUAACGUCGCAAGACCAAAGUGGGGGACCUUAGGGCCUCACACCAUCGGAUGAACCCAGAUGGGAUUAGCUAGUAGGUGGGGUAACGGCCCACCUAGGCGACGAUCCCUAGCUGGUCUGAGAGGAUGACCAGCCACACUGGAACUGAGACACGGUCCAGACUCCUACGGGAGGCAGCAGUGGGGAAUAUUGCACAAUGGGCGCAAGCCUGAUGCAGCCAUGCCGCGUGUGUGAAGAAGGCCUUCGGGUUGUAAAGCACUUUCAGCGGGGAGGAAGGGGUUGGGUUGAAUAGAUUCAAUCAUUGACGUUACCCGCAGAAGAAGCACCGGCUAACUCCGUGCCAGCAGCCGCGGUAAUACGGAGGGUGCGAGCGUUAAUCGGAAUUACUGGGCGUAAAGCGUACGCAGGCGGUUUGUUAAGUCAGAUGUGAAAUCCCCGAGCUUAAC